rnacentral:lncRNA from 1 species
GAAUAUCCUCAGCUCUGUCUUUAGUGGUAUCAGCCGAAAGGAUACUUUCGGCUUGUUGAAAUUUUCUUUUAACUACUGAUUUACACCGUUUGGAAGACGGCGGGGGAGUGACUUGAACAACUUCAAUCGGUCUUUUGUCUGAAGCUGAGACCGAUGGAGAAGCAGGAAUCGAUUGAAAACAUAAAUAAACUAAAAUGAUGAGCAGAGAAAAAUUAUGGUUAAGAUGAGUAGAGAAAUGAUAUUUUACCGAGGAAGAAGGCGGGGCAUCAGAAAUAGGUUCUGGUGGAGACUCAAUCUCGGUUGGAGAAU